rnacentral:tRNA from 1 species
GGGGAGGUAGCGAAGCGGCCAAACGCAUCAGACUGUAAAUCUGACGCCCCUCGGGCUUCAAAGGUUCGAAUCCUUUCCUCCCCACCA